rnacentral:rRNA from 1 species
CUCCAUGAAGUUGGAUUCGCUAGUAAUCGCGCAUCAGCCAUGGCGCGGUGAAUACGUUCCCGGGCCUUGUACACACCGCCCGUCAAGCCAUGGGAGCCGGGGGUGCCUGAAGUUCGUGACCGCAAGGAGCGACCUAGGGCAAAACUGGUGACUGGGGCUAAGUCGUAACAAGGUAGC